UACGUAGGGGGCAAGCGUUUGUCCGGAUUUAUUGGGCGUAAAGAGCGUGUAGGCGGUCUGGUAGGUCCGCUGUGAAAACUCGAGGCUCAACCUCGAGACGCCGGUGGAAACCAUCAGACUAGAGUCCGGAAGAGGAGAGUGGAAUUCCUGGUGUAGCGGUGAAAUGCGCAGAUAUCAGGAAGAACACCCGUGGCUAAGGCGGCUCUCUAGUACGGUACUGACGCUGAGACGCGAAAGCGUGGGGAGCGAACAGG
rnacentral:rRNA from 1 species